rnacentral:rRNA from 1 species
GAUCAUGGCUCAGAUUGAACGCUGGCGGCAUGCCUUACACAUGCAAGUCGAACGGUAACAGGUCUUCGGAUGCUGACGAGUGGCGAACGGGUGAGUAAUACAUCGGAACGUGCCCGAUCGUGGGGGAUAACGAAGCGAAAGCUUUGCUAAUACCGCAUACGAUCUACGGAUGAAAGCGGGGGAUCUUCGGACCUCGCGCGGACGGAGCGGCCGAUGGCAGAUUAGGUAGUUGGUGGGAUAAAAGCUUACCAAGCCGACGAUCUGUAGCUGGUCUGAGAGGAUGAUCAGCCACACUGGGACUGAGACACGGUCCAGACCCCUACGGGAGGCAGCAGUGGGGAAUUUUGGACAAUGGACGCAAGUCUGAUCCAGCCAUUCCGCGUGCAGGAUGAAGGCCCUCGGGUUGUAAACUGCUUUUGUACGGAACGAAAAGGUUUCUAUUAAUACUAGGAGCUCAUGACGGUACCGUAAGAAUAAGCACCGGCUAACUACGUG